rnacentral:rRNA from 1 species
AUUGAACGCUGGCGGCAUGCCUUACACAUGCAAGUCGAACGGCAGCACGGGUGCUUGCACCUGGUGGCGAGUGGCGAACGGGUGAGUAAUACAUCGGAACGUACCUUAUCGUGGGGGAUAACGCAGCGAAAGCUGUGCUAAUACCGCAUACGCCCUGAGGGGGAAAGCGGGGGAUCGCAAGACCUCGCGCGAUUAGAGCGGCCGAUGCCUGAUUAGCUAGUUGGUGGGGUAAAAGCCCACCAAGGCGACGAUCAGUAGCUGGUCUGAGAGGACGAUCAGCGACACUGGGACUGAGACACGGCCCAGACUCCUACGGGAGGCAGCAGUGGGGAAUUUUGGACAAUGGGGGCAACCCUGAUCCGGCAAUGCCGCGUGAGUGAAGAAGGCCUUCGGGUUGUAAAGCUCUUUUGUCAGGGAAGAAACACCGGCUCUAACACAGUCCGGGAAUGACGGUACCUGAAGAAUAAGCACCGGCUAACUACGUGCCAGCAGCCGCCGUAA